GUCCACGCCCUAAACGAUGUCAACUAGUUGUUCGGUGAGGAGACUCAUUGAGUAACGCAGCUAACGCGUGAAGUUUACCGCCUGGGGAGUACGGCCGCAAGGUUAAAACUCAAAGGAAUUGACGGGGACCCGCACAAGCGGUGGAUGAUGUGGAUUAAUUCGAUGCAACGCGAAAACCUUACCUACCCUUGACAUGUCAGGAAUCCUUGAGAGAUUGAGGAGUGCCCGAAAGGGAGCCUGAACACAGGUGCUGCAUGGCUGUCGU
rnacentral:rRNA from 1 species